GAUUCCAACCGGGUCCAACCGGCCACAGCUGAGCCGGAGUUGAUGCAGGCCGCUGUACCACCGAUCCUGAUCCUGUUGUCGGCCUUGGAUGAUGAGGUUACCAGGAUCACUACUCUGCAGCUUACCAGUUCCGUCCUGCAGCUCCUCCACGCCGUCCUCCUCUCAACAGACUAAAUCUAGAUAAAGGAAGCAGGAAGCUGCUGUGGAUCUGCUGCAGUAUCUAGAGACGUCAGAGGAACGGUUCUUGGAACAGAUCUGAAGACACCGAGAUCCGACCACUGCCCUGCUCCAGAACAUCCAGAGGACGGAUGAAAAUUCAAACACCUUGGCUGGACUGAUGGGACGCAUGGUGUCAGUGCUGGAGCGACUGUCACAGAAAUAAACUGCAUUGUCCACUAUUCCUGCCUUUUAUAGAAAAAAUAAUCAUUUUUUUGUAAAUUCUUUUCCUUCUUAGCUAUUUAAGUACACUGGUAUUUUACUCUUGCACUUUGGGUGAAUAAAAAUAUAUUUGUGAUUUAAGAUGCGUGUUUUGUCUAUAAUCUACAGAGAUUUUAUUCAGUGUUAAGUGCACACUUCUACGUACACACAUUUUGACAGAUAAUCAGUUGUGGUUUUCAAGCAGAUUUCUAUCUGAAACAUAUCAGCAACGUAUAUUGUUUCUUACAACACAUGUCACACCAAGCUAGAUAAACUGCACUACUGCAGCAGAUGUAUUAUUUAAGUGUGCUUACAUUACAUGUCUACAUACACUACUCACAAAAAGUUACUCAACUUUAGGUGAAAUUUAUGGCAAUUGUAAAAAUUAAUGCUAUGGUGAUAUUAAAUCAUGAAAGUAGGGCAUUUAAGUAGAAACAUGCAAUAGUGAUUUCCUCAUCUCAAAGAAUUUAUUGAAACAAAAACUAACAGCA